rnacentral:lncRNA from 1 species
AAAAAAUUAAAAAUCUAGCCAAUCUAUUUACUUUUCUAUGUUCUAACUAAUAGUUAGUUUUUGCCUAUUGUAUAGUAACUUAUUAUAGUCACUCUAUUUUUUUGGCAAUCUUGUCUUCAUGUGUGUCGACAGCUGGAUGCUCCCUUGGGGCCUGCAAGGUUUGGGGAAUUAAGUGACUCAAAAAAAGCGUUUAUUGUUUAAAGAUAAAAUUGAAAAAGAAAAUUUCUUAUUGUUUGAAAUAGAUUGAAAAGAAAAAAAACCAAUGUAUGUAUAAAUAUUUUAAAUUUUAAGAUAAAUUGUUUUGUAUUUAGAAAUUAGUAAAUUCCUUUUUUUGAAUUGUAUUUUUUAGAUAUACGUUUAAAUAUGUCGAAUUUUGAUAAUUAUAAUUACUGAUGAGGGCGGUAAUGCCGAAAUGCAUAUAAUGUAAAAAAAGGAAUUCGACAAUAAACGGAAGAAAAGGAAAAAAUAAGGAUUGAGUCAUUUAAUUCCCCAAACUUUGCAGGCUUCAAGGGAGCAUCCAGUUGUCGAUAUGCAUGAGGAUGGGAUUGCCAAGGGGGUGGAGUGACUGUAAUAAGUUGCUGUGCACUAUGCAAUAGGCGGGGGCUGACUAUUAGUUAGAACAUAGAGAUUAGACAAUAUAUUAAAUCUGUAAAAAUAAUUUAUUAAAGUGUAUAGACAGAAAAGUUUUGGAUGUUAAUCCAAAAUUUCAGGAUAUACAAUGUUUUUUCUAAAUAUUUCAUUUUUCAAUGUCCCUGUUUGUUAUUUUCACAGAAAUUUAUUAUAUUUGUUAUUUUUGUUUAUUGUUAUUUUUUAUUUUUAAAUUCUAUGAUAAAUUAUUUAUAUUUGAUGUUCUAUGAUAAAUUUGUCUAUGCACCUGAUAAAAAUAUGGACCAUUUCCACAAAUUUCAGUUCCAUGUGCAACCAUUGAUGCAAAAGAUAAGGCACUAUUGUAUGAUCGGAUAUUAUCCUUAAAGUUUUUGUAAUUUUCGUUAUUAAUGUUAGUGAAUAAAUCUUUCAAAAAUGGAGGAUAUUCUCUUCUGUGAAGUAUUUUCACUCUUCCUUUGUGGCAACAAUUGUUAAAUUUUCCAUCUAAGGGAUGUUCACUAUUAAAAUUAAUGGAAUCACAAAAUUAACAGAUAUCAUUCAUUGGGCCACAAUAAUGGAUCAAAUUUCGUUAAAUUUGUUAUUAUCAAAUU